rnacentral:rRNA from 1 species
GAUGAACGCUGGCGGCGUGCCUAAUACAUGCAAGUCGAGCGAACGGACGAGAAGCUUGCUUUUCUGAUGUUAGCGGCGGACGGGUGAGUAACACGUGGAUAACCUACCUAUAAGACUGGGAUAACUUCGGGAAACCGGAGCUAAUACCGGAUAAUAUUUUGAACCGCAUGGUUCAAAAGUGAAAGACGGUCUUGCUGUCACUUAUAGAUGGAUCCGCGCUGCAUUAGCUGGUUGGUAAGGUAACGGCUUACCAAGGCAACGAUGCAUAGCCGACCUGAGAGGGUGAUCGGCCACACUGGAACUGAGACACGGUCCAGACUCCUACGGGAGGCAGCAGUAGGGAAUCUUCCGCAAAGGGCGAAAGCCUGACGGAGCAACGCCGCGUGAGUGAUGAAGGUCUUCGGAUCGUAAAACUCUGUUAUUAGGGAAGAACAUAUGUGUAAGUAACUGUGCACAUCUUGACGGUACCUAAUCAGAAAGCCACGGCUAACUACGUG